rnacentral:rRNA from 1 species
AACAGGAAGCAGCUUGCUGCUUCGCUUACGAGUGGCGGACGGGUGAGUAAUGUCUGGGAAACUGCCUGAUGGAGGGGGAUAACUACUGGAAACGGUGGCUAAUACCGCAUAACGUCGCAAGACCAAAGAGGGGGACCUUCGGGCCUCUUGCCAUCAGAUGUGCCCAGAUGGGAUUAGCUAGUUGGUGAGGUAACGGCUCACCAAGGCGACGAUCCCUAGCUGGUCUGAGAGGAUGACCAGCCACACUGGAACUGAGACACGGUCCAGACUCCUACGGGAGGCAGCAGUGGGGAAUAUUGCACAAUGGGCGCAAGCCUGAUGCAGCCAUGCCGCGUGUAUGAAGAAGGCCUU